CUGACCAGCAUUUAAAAGAAGAAAAGUGAAGGUAUCUUUUAUUACAGAACUACAUACACAUACAAAUUUUGAGCUGUAAAGAUCUAUUAUAUUAAAGAUUUAUAGAUCUAAAGAGUUUAUAUUAUUGAUGACAAAUUGCUUAACAGCCAAGGUUAUUAUAGUUAACUAAAACCAUCAAAAAAUAGAAAUAAAAUAAAAAGCAUUUCAUAUUUUCAUUUAUUUUUAAUCAAUUUUAGUAAUUAAAGAACUAAAAUGGAUAAAAAUGAAAUUAAAAUAAAAACUAUAAACAUUUUAAAAACAACUUUAAAAUAAAGUAAAUAAAAUAUAUAUAGAUGCAUUUAAAAAUGUGUAAAAUGACAAAACNUUGCUGUAAUAAAAGGGUCACAUUAUAAUCUGGGAUAUUUAUGUCAAGGUAAGCAAAUAAAUUGUAAAAAUAAAAUGUGUAAAAAAGUUUAUUUUUUUUGCCUUUUCAUUUUUAGAAAAUUAUUAGCUAAUGCCUCACGGCUUCAAGACAUGCAGAGAGUUUAACUUACAAAUAAUGAUACGUGUUUUAAAAACUACAUUAACCUUUUCCGUCGUACGUUUGAAAACGAAUCCCAAUGAUUGUAAUUCAGGAUAUUUACAAUUAGGCCUGAAAUCCGGUUAUUGAAAUCGCUUUUGGUUCUGCAUACAAAAGGAAUUAAAGCGAAAGUAAAAGCCGAGCGAGUUUAGGGCACAAAUGAAUCAUGGGAAAACAGCGUCUGACGUCUUUCCAAAAAAACGCCCGAGAUCGUCCUCAGCGAACCCUGUUCGAAGAAAAAGAAAAGAAAGGAAACCGUUCGACUUCAGGCCAAUUCUUCACUAGUCACAUGACCUUCAUCGCCGAUACCAAAACACGUCACAAACACACAACCGAAAACCUACUAGCUUCUUGUACCUUUCAAACUGUUACACUACUUUUAACGACGUCUGGUGACAAAAAGAAGAAAAUGAGCAGCUCUAAUUCGACACGGCGCUCUACACAAAUCACUAAAACUGGAAGAGCGGAGAGAAAUUACGUCACAAUCUUUGUUCCCGGCAGCGAGUUUCACCACCAAGGCACCGUUAGCUCUCGAGUUCUGGCACGUUUAAUAUAUUUGACACGCCAAAGAAAAAUCUAA
ensembl:lncRNA